AACGCUAGCUACAGGCUUAACACAUGCAAGUCGAGGGGAAACGACAUCGAAAGCUUGCUUUUGAUGGGCGUCGACCGGCGCACGGGUGAGUAACGCGUAUCCAACCUGCCCACCACUUGGGGAUAACCUUGCGAAAGUAAGACUAAUACCCAAUGAUAUCUCUAGAAGACAUCUGAAGGAGAUUAAAGAUUCAUCGGUGAUGGAUGGGGAUGCGUCUGAUUAGCUUGUUGGCGGGGUAACGGCCCACCAAGGCGACGAUCAGUAGGGGUUCUGAGAGGAAGGUCCCCCACAUUGGAACUGAGACACGGUCCAAACUCCUACGGGAGGCAGCAGUGAGGAAUAUUGGUCAAUGGGCGAGAGCCUGAACCAGCCAAGUAGCGUGCAGGAUGACGGCCCUAUGGGUUGUAAACUGCUUUUAUAAGGGAAUAAAGUGAGCCUCGUGAGGCUUUUUGCAUGUACCUUAUGAAUAAGGACCGGCUAGUUCCGUGCCAGCAGCCGCGGUAAUACGGAAGGUCCGGGCGUUAUCCGGAUUUAUUGGGUUUAAAGGGAGCGUAGGCCGGAGAUUAAGCGUGUUGUGAAAUGUAGAUGCUCAACGUCUGCACUGCAGCGCGAACUGGUUUCCUUGAGUACGCACAAAGUGGGCGGAAUUCGUGGUGUAGCGGUGAAAUGCUUAGAUAUCACGAAGAACUCCGAUUG
rnacentral:rRNA from 1 species